UACAGAGGGUGCAAGCGUUGUUCGGAAUUAUUGGGCGUAAAGGGCGCGUAGGCGGUGCGGUAAGUCUGCGGUGAAAUCUCCCGGCUCAACUGGGAGGCUGCCGUGGAAACUGCCGUGCUUGAGUGUGGGAGAGGUGAGUGGAAUUCCCGGUGUAGCGGUGAAAUGCGCAGAUAUCAAGGAAGAACACCCGUGGCUAAGGCGGCUCUCUAGUACGGUACUGACGCUGAGACGCGAAAGCGUGGGGAGCGAACAGG
rnacentral:rRNA from 1 species